AGCGAACGCUGGCGGCAUGCUUAACACAUGCAAGUCGCACGGGCAGCAAUGUCGGUGGCGGACGGGUGAGUAGCGCGUAGGAACGUGUCCUGGGGUGGGGGACAACCCCGGGAAACUGGGGCUAAUACCGCGUAUGGCCUGAGGCACUAAGCCGAGCGGCGCCCUUGGAGCGGCCUGCGUCCGAGUAGGUAGUGGGUGGGGUAAAGGCCUACCAAGGCUGCGAUCGGUAGCUGGUCUGAGAGCACCACCAGCCACACUGGGACUAGGACACGGCCCAGACUCCUGCGGGAGGGAGCAGUGGGGAAUAUUGGACAACGGGCGAAAGCCUGAACCAGCAAUGCCGCGUGGGUGAAGAAGGUCGUCGGGACGUGAAGCCCUUUAGACGGGGGCGAUGAUGACGGUACCCGUAGAAGAAGCCCCGGCUAACUUCGUG
rnacentral:rRNA from 1 species